UUAUCCGCGAGGAUCGGUCUGGAGGAAGCCGCUAGCAAAACUGCGAGUUGAUGAACAAGAACAUCAUAUGAGGCGUAGGCUGAAGGCGAGUUGGCACAAGACGACGAAGCCAUGUGAUCUAACGGCCACCGUAAAUGAUGCAACAGUGCAGUGAAAGUUUAUGUU
rfam:Thalassomonas actiniarum strain A5K-106 contig_102, whole genome shotgun sequence.